rnacentral:rRNA from 1 species
UGCAAGUCGAGCGGACAGAUGGGAGCUUGCUCCCUGAUGUUAGCGGCGGACGGGUGAGUAACACGUGGGUAACCUGCCUGUAAGACUGGGAUAACUCCGGGAAACCGGGGCUAAUACCGGAUGGUUGUUUGAACCGCAUGGUUCAAACAUAAAAGGUGGCUUCGGCUACCACUUACAGAUGGACCCGCGGCGCAUUAGCUAGUUGGUGAGGUAACGGCUCACCAAGGCAACGAUGCGUAGCCGACCUGAGAGGGUGAUCGGCCACACUGGGACUGAGACACGGCCCAGACUCCUACGGGAGGCAGCAGUAGGGAAUCUUCCGCAAUGGACGAAAGUCUGACGGAGCAACGCCGCGUGAGUGAUGAAGGUUUUCGGAUCGUAAAGCUCUGUUGUUAGGGAAGAACAAGUACCGUUCGAAUAGGGCGGUACCUUGACGGUACCUAACCAGAAAGCCACGGCUAACUACGUGCCAGCAGCCGCGGUAAUACGUAGGUGGCAAGCGUUGUCCGGAAUUAUUGGGCGUAAAGGGCUCGCAGGCGGUUUCUUAAGUCUGAUGUGAAAGCCCCCGGCUCAACCGGGGAGGGUCAUUGGAAACUGGGGAACUUGAGUGCAGAAGAGGAGAGUGGAAUUCCACGUGUAGCGGUGAAAUGCGUAGAGAUGUGGAGGAACACCAGUGGCGAAGGCGACUCUCUGGUCUGUAACUGACGCUGAGGAGCGAAAGCGUGGGGAGCGAACAGGAUUA